rnacentral:lncRNA from 1 species
AUAGUUAUUCUCCAUGUUCCCGAAACCCUAGUUUCCAAGGCAACAUGUAUGAACAUCUUCCAUAACAAUAAGUGCAACUUUCCUUUUCUUGGAAUGCACUUAUUCCUCUUUCUUUAAGUCAUAAACUUGUUCCUCAAGUUUAUUCAUAUUUCCAUAUCUCCAAGAUACUCUCUUGCUCUCCAAGUCUACACGACUCCAGCUCAACACCUUGACUCCACAUGGUCUUCACCACUCA